UACAGAGGGGGCAAGCGUUGUUCGGAAUUACUGGGCGUAAAGGGCGCGUAGGCGGCCCGCUAAGUCGAACGUGAAAUCCCCGAGCUCAACUCGGGAACUGCGUCCGAUACUGGUGGGCUUGAAUCCGGGAGAGGGAUGCGGAAUUCCAGGUGUAGCGGUGAAAUGCGUAGAUAUCUGGAGGAACACCGGUGGCGAAGGCGGCAUCCUGGACCGGCAUUGACGCUGAGGCGCGACAGCCAGGGGAGCAAACGGG
rnacentral:rRNA from 1 species